AUCACCUGGGGAUCUUGUUAAAAUGUGGAUUCUGAGUAGGUCUGGGGUGGGGCUUGAGAUUCUACUUUUCUAACAUGAUCCCAGUGAUGCUAA
rnacentral:pre_miRNA from 1 species